CCGUCGAUAGCUACAGUUGGCAGAGCGGUGGACUGUAGAUCCAUAGGUCGAUGGUCUCGACUCCGGCUCGACGGA